AUUGAACGCUGGCGGCAGGCCUAACACAUGCAAGUCGAGCGGAUGAAGGGAGCUUGCUCCUGGAUUCAGCGGCGGACGGGUGAGUAAUGCAUAGGAAUCUGCCUGGUAGUGGGGGAUAACGUCCGGAAACGGGCGCUAAUACCGCAUACGUCCUGAGGGAGAAAGAGGGGGAUCUUCGGACCUCACGCUAUCAGAUGAGCCUAGGUCGGAUUAGCUAGUUGGUGGGGUAAAGGCCUACUAAGGCGACGAUCCGUAACUGGUCUGAGAGGAUGAUCAGUCACACUGGAACGGAGACACGGUCCUGACUCCUACGGGAGGCAGCAGUGGGGAAUAUUGGGCAAUGGGCGAAAGCCUGAUCCAGCCAUGCCGCGUGUGUGAAGAAGGUCUUCGGAUUGUAAAGCACUUUAAGUUGGGAGGAAGGGCAGUAAGUUAAUACCUUGCUGUUUUGACGUUACCAACAGAAUAAGCACCGGCUAACUUCGUG
rnacentral:rRNA from 1 species